UACGGGGGGAGCAAGCGUUGUUCGGAUUUACUGGGCGUAAAGGGCGCGUAGGCGGCCACCGCAAGUCGAUUGUGAAAUCUCCGGGCUUAACCCGGAAAGGUCAACCGAUACUGCGGGGCUAGAGUGCAGAAGGGGCAACUGGAAUUCUCGGUGUAGCGGUGAAAUGCGUAGAUAUCGCUUGGAACGCCAACGGUGAAAACAGGUUGCUGGGGGUGUGCUGACGCUGAGACACGAAAGCCAGGGGAGCGAACGGG
rnacentral:rRNA from 1 species